rnacentral:rRNA from 1 species
AAGCCAAUGCAUGCUUUUACAGUAUGAAAAUUGGUGAUUUAUAAUAACUUAGCAAAUCGCAAAGUGAAAACAGGCGAUAAAUCAUUCAAGUUUCUGACCUAUCAGCUUUCGACGGUAUGGUAUUGGCUUACCGUGGCAGUGACGGUUAACGGGGGAUUAGGGUUCGAUUCCGGAGAGGGAGCCUGAGAAACGGCUACCACAUCUAAGGAAGGCAGCAGGCGCGCAAAUUACCCAAUUCUAACAGUUUGAGAGAGGUAGUAACAAGAAAUAACAAUACAAGGCAGUUAAAAUGCUUUGUAAUUGGAAUGAUAGAAAUUUAAACCCUUUUUAAAGUAUCAAUUGGAGGGCAAGUCUGGUGCCAGCAGCCGCGGUAAUUCCAGCUCCAAUAGCGUAUAUUAAAAUUGUUGCAGUUAAAAAGCUCGUAGUUGAAGUUCUGCUAAAAGUAACCGGUCUGCUUUGAAUAAAAGUGGUAUCUUGGUAUGUAUUUAGCAAUGAUGUCCUUUGAAGUGUUUUUUACUUUAUUGUAAUAAAGCAUAUUCAGGACUUUUACUUUGAGAAAAUUAGAGUGUUUCUAGCAGGCCAACGCUUUGAAUACUGACGG